UGCACAUGAUGUCUCAUAUUUGCUAUCUGAGAAGCUGUGAUUACACUCUUCCACCAAGAUCUCUGAUGCA